rnacentral:rRNA from 1 species
CCUACGGGAGGCAGCAGUGGGGAAUAUUGCACAAUGGGGGAAACCCUGAUGCAGCGACGCCGCGUGAGUGAAGAAGUAAUUCGUUAUGUAAAGCUCUAUCAGCAGGGAAGAAAAUGACGGUACCUGAGUAAGAAGACCCGGCUAACUACGUGCCAGCAGCCGCGGUAAUACGUAGGGGGCAAGCGUUAUCCGGAUUUACGGGGUGGAAAGGGAGCGUAGACGGCAGUGCAAGUCUGGAGUGAAAGGCGGGGGCUCAACCCCCGGACUGCUCUGGAAACUGUACGGCUGGAGUGCAGGAGAGGUAAGUGGAAUUCCUAGUGUAGCGGUGAAAUGCGUAGAUAUUAGGAGGAACACCAGUGGCGAAGGCGGCUUACUGGACUGUAACUGACGUUGAGGCUCGCAAGCGUGGGGAGCAAACAGGAUUAGAUACCCCUGUAGUC